GGGUAAUCCCCAGACCCAAGCAGGACUCAGGACCUUGCUCCUAACCUCACAUUCAGUCUCCUCUGCUCCUUUGGAAAGACUGAGAUACAUACGCAUAAAACUAUGGCAAGAGUGUCAGCUGCAAGACUUUCUCCUGUCAUUUUGUGUGGUUUUACCCUCCUGUUGCCUUUUGGUGACAUCAAGUCCUCCUCAACAGCUGAUUUAGCUUGGGAUCAUAGGCCCAAGAACAGCCUACCAACA
rnacentral:lncRNA from 12 species